rnacentral:rRNA from 1 species
UACGGAAGGCAGCAGUGGGGAAUAUUGCACAAUGGGCGCAAGCCUGAUGCAGCCAUGCCGCGUGUAUGAAGAAGGCCUUCGGGUUGUAAAGUACUUUCAGUCGUGAGGAAGGUGUUAAGGUUAAUAACCUUAGCAAUUGACGUUAGCGACAGAAGAAGCACCGGCUAACUCCGUGCCAGCAGCCGCGGUAAUACGGAGGGUGCGAGCGUUAAUCGGAAUUACUGGGCGUAAAGGGCACGCAGGCGGUUAAUUAAGUUGGAUGUGAAAUCCCCGGGCUUAACCUGGGAAUGGCAUUCAAGACUGGUUAGCUAGAGUCUUGUAGAGGGGGUAGAAUUCCAUGUGUAGCGGUGAAAUGCGUAGAGAUGUGGAGGAAUACCGGUGCGAAGGCGGCCCCUGGACAAGACUGACGCUCAUGUGCGAAAGCGUGGGGAGCAAACGAGGAUUAGAUACC